rnacentral:rRNA from 1 species
AGCAGCCGCGGUAAUUCCAGCUCCAAUAGCGUAUAUUAAAGUUGUUGCAGUUAAAAAGCUCGUAGUUGAAUUUCGGGAUUGACGUGAUGGUCAUGCCUUAAGGGGUAUGAACUGUUACUGUUGAUUUCUCACCUUCUGGAGAAACUUGAUGUCCUUUAUUGGGUGUCUUGCGGAUCCAGGACCUUUACCUUGAAAAAAAUUAGAGUGUUUAAAGCAGGCAUUUUUGCUCGAAUACAUUAGCAUGGAAUAAUAGAAUAGGACGGCAUGGUUCUAUUUUGUUGGUUUCUAGGAUCACCGUAAUGAUUAAUAGGGAUAGUUGGGGGCAUUAGUAUUCAAUUGUCAGAGGUGAAAUUCUUGGAUUUAUUGAAGACUAACUACUGCGAAAAGCAUUUGCCAAGGAUGUUUUCAUUAAUCAAGAACGAAAGUUAGGGGAUCGAAGACGAUCAGAUACCGUCGUAGUCUUAACCAUAAAACUAUGCCGACUAGGAAUCAGACGAUGUUAAAUUUUUUAAUGACUCGU